rnacentral:lncRNA from 1 species
AUAUGCUACAGGCUUGACUAAAGAGAGGAAACUAUUGAUGGGACUACCAGAAGUCAAAAGAGGAGAAUGAUAGGUUGAGGAAGCAGGACAAAAAAAUGAAAUAAUAACAACUAUAAUAACCAAUGCUUACUAGCACUUAAGUCGCAGGUGCUGUUCUUUUGUUUUGUUUCGUUUAUUUAUAAUGAUUUUUUUCCCAUUAUAGCUGGUUUAUAGUGUUCUGUCAAUUUCCUACUGUACAGCAAGGUGACCCAGUUAUACAUACAUGUAUACAUUCUUUUUUCUCACAUUAUCAUGCUCCAUCGUAAGUGACUAGAUAUAGUUCCCAGUGCUAUAAGGAAGGAUCUCAUUGCUUAUCCAUUCCAAAGGCAAUAGUUUGAAUCUUUUAACCCCAAAUUCCCAGUUAAAUGAAAUAUUAAUUUAAUAUCAAGUGAUAGCCUUAAUGGUAUUUACCUUUGUUAAAGAUGAGGGAACUGAGCUAUAAUGCUUUGCACAGUGGAAGGCAGGGCUUAUGCUUUUUGGUUCUAGAGACCAAACCCUUAACACUACCACAUAUUACUUCUUAAAGAUAACCUGGAGGCCCCUCUGGGAAAAGUUCUCCACCUUCCCUUCUCUAAGUGUGAUAGCCAUUAGAGAUAAAAGAUGACAAUUUUAAAGUCAGUAACUUGGGUCUACUGGGGGUGGGUGGAGGAGGUGAAAUACUGUAGAAUUUAUUCAACAUUUUAAGAUUGACUGCUGGUAUUAGAAGGGAACCCGAAUGUAAUCUACUUUGCAAAUCAAGGGGAAAGGGAAUUUUGACGACGCUCUUGCGAGGACUAUGUUUUAUGAUGCUGUAUAAGCAUAAAAACUUGAUAUAGGAAGUUUAGUAAGGACUUAUGAUCACUAGUUUACUGUAUAGAUCAGCACUGUGUAAUAGAGAUAUAAAGUGAACCAUGCGUGUAAUUUAAAAUUUUCUGGCGGCCACAUUAAAUAAAAAGAAACAGGUUAAAUUAGUUUUAAUAAUAUAUUUUAUUUAACCUAAUAUAUUCAAAAUAUUAUUUAAACAACUAAUUAAAACAAUGAAAUACAUCUUACAUUCUUUUAUUCCUACUAAGUCUUUGAAAUUAGUGUGCAUUUCUCUGUUUAAAUUAGCUGUUUUCUCAGUUUUAACUAUUUUUAAUACUUAGUAAGAAGGGGUGGGGAAAGAUUUACCAAAUGUUUAGGCUUCCUGUUGUUUGAAGUACUGUGGGUUUUAUGUAGUUAGAGGGAUUCUAAAUGAUUUCUGCAGUCAUAAAAUUCUGGGCUCUGGUUUUAAAAAGAGCACAGUACUUUUUCUGUAGUCAGAGCUCUAAAAGAGAAGCACACAGUUCUUACUCUUGAAAUGUGGUGUUUGUUGGUUCAGGGACUCUGUGUCUCUUAACUAGAACUUAUCACAACUUCACUUAUUUGACCGGUUUGUUUUUAAGGAACUUAAUAAGUUUAAGCUUACAUCAUUCCUCAGGCAGGGAUUUCUAAAAUCUUCUUUUCCCUGCAAAGAAAAAAAUCACCUAAAAACUCCAACUAAAUAAACUUAAAAAUGAAAAUAAAUCUUUUUAAACUAUAAAAAUGUAAUAUGCAUUCUUCAUAUAAAUUUAGAUAAUAGAGAUAGCUACUUUGAUGUGUUUAAUGAACAGAUCUUUGGCAGAGGAAAGUGUGAUCUUUGGCUUCCUCCUGCAGUGCUAGGGUUCCUAGGGUAGUAGCACUCCAGUGAAUCAGAUUUUCUGGGUUGUAUGGGGACAGAUAGUAAAGACUUUAUUUCCUUUAAGAAGAGUUUGAACAAAUGGGAGGUAUGUGCUCUUUCUGUCCGAGUUAUGUAUUAUAUUGCUCUGUAUUAUGUAUUAUAUUUUAUUUGGCUAAGAGCCUAAUUUUAAUGCAUUUUAUUAAAAAAAAAAAA